CAGCCGCCGCGGGAAAACGUAGGGUGCAAGCGUUAAUCGGAAUUACUGGGCGUAAAGCGUGCGCAGGCGGUUAUAUAAGACAGAUGUGAAAUCCCCGGGCUCAACCUGGGAACUGCAUUUGUGACUGUAUAGCUAGAGUACGGCAGAGGGGGAUGGAAUUCCGCGUGUAGCAGUGAAAUGCGUAGAUAUGCGGAGGAACACCGAUGGCGAAGGCAAUCCCCUGGGCCUGUACUGACGCUCAUGCACGAAAGCGUGGGGAGCAAACAGGAUUAGAUACCCCGUAGUCCCUGUCUCUUAUACA
rnacentral:rRNA from 1 species